ACUACAGAAAACAAACUGAAAGCUAAUCUGAUAGGUGUAUGACAAUAAACGUUCCUCAGGACAACAUCGAGAAUAAAAGAAACAAUAUGUUUUCAACUACUCUGCAGGGCCAAAAGACGUUCCACCCUUUUUUAAAAUAAUGCAGCUUUCUCUACAGGAACAGAAGAUAUGUCUUUUUUCCUUCAGCUUGGAAAACUAUAAUUUUGAAGCUUGCAGCCUCAGCAGGGUUUGCAAGCAAGUUGAUCGCUGCUGGGGCAAGAGUGACCUCAGCUGGGAAGAACUGUGGGAAACCCGGCAAGGACUUGUUCCAAAACUAUGGAAGAAUGGGAGGGAGGUAGGGGAACCUCUAGUUUUUGCCAGAGCUAGGGUGAGAACUGGGCUCUGGGCAACACAGCACAGUGCAGAUGUCAGCACCACACCAAGCCAAGCACUCCGAGCACUGCCUGGACAUUGCAGAGGUUCAGCGAAUGACAAAGCUCUGUAAUCACAGGAGGAAAGCUGUGGGUCAGACACUAGGAGACGUGCACCCCUGUUCCAUGUGUGUAAAGUAGGACCUAUGCUCUUAACACACAAAUCAACCUAAGAAGCACUUGCUUAUAUAAGGACACCUGUAUUUCAUAGGUGUUAACAUCUGACCAGCUUUGCCUACAAAUUUCUGCUUAGCUUCCAGACUUUAAUUUGCAAGAUAGAAUCUUUGCUGACUAUGAUAAAUUAAUUAUUACAUUCCUAU
ensembl:lncRNA